rnacentral:rRNA from 1 species
CCCUUAGAUGUUCUGGGCUGCACGCGUGCUACACUGGUAUUGCCAAUAUGUCAUUCUUAUCCGAAAUGGAUUGGGUAAUCAAGUAAUGAAAUUUCAUGCUUGGAAUCGGUAAUUGCAAUUUUAUCGUGAACGAGGAAUUCCUAGUAAGCACUAGUCAUCAGCUAAUGUUGAUUAUGUCCCUGCCCUUUGUACACACCGCCCGUCGCUACUACUGAUUGGGUGUUCAAGUGAGAUGCUUAGACCCUUGUUGCAUGGUUCAUUAUUGUGCUCCGAAAGGAAAAAGUUUCAAGCUUGAGUGUCUAGAGGAAGUAAAAGUCGUAACA